rnacentral:rRNA from 1 species
AGAGUUUGAUCCUGGCUCAGGACGAACGCUGGCGGCGUGCCUAAUACAUGCAAGUCGAGCGCAGGAAGUCAUCCGAACCCUUCGGGGGGACGUUGACGGAAUGAGCGGCGGACGGGUGAGUAACACGUAAAGAACCUGCCCUCAGGUCUGGGAUAACCACGAGAAAUCGGGGCUAAUACCGGAUGGGUCAUCGGACCGCAUGGUCCGAGGAUGAAAGGCGCUCCGGCGUCGCCUGGGGAUGGCUUUGCGGUGCAUUAGCUAGUUGGUGGGGUAAUGGCCCACCAAGGCGACGAUGCAUAGCCGACCUGAGAGGGUGAUCGGCCACACUGGGACUGAGACACGGCCCAGACUCCUACGGGAGGCAGCAGUAGGGAAUCUUCCACAAUGGACGAAAGUCUGAUGGAGCAACGCCGCGUAAACGAUGAAGGCCCUCGGGUCGUAAAGUUCUGUUGUAAGGGAAGAACAAGUGCCGCAGGCAAUGGCGGCACCUUGACGGUACCUUGCGAGAAAGCCACGGCUAACUACGUGCCAGCAGCCGCGGUAAUACGUAGGUGGCAAGCGUUGUCCGGAAUUAUUGGGCGUAAAGCGCGCGCAGGCGGCCUCUUAAGUCUGAUGUGAAAGCCCCCGGCUCAACCGGGGAGGGCCAUUGGAAACUGGGAGGCUUGAGUAUAGGAGAGAAGAGUGGAAUUCCACGUGUAGCGGUGAAAUGCGUAGAGAUGUGGAGGAACACCAGUGGCGAAGGCGACUCUUUGGCCUAUAACUGACGCUGANGCGCGAAAGCGUGGGGAGCAAACAGGANUAGAUACCCUGGUAGUCCACGCCGUAAACGAUGAGUGCUAGGUGUUGGAGGGUUUCCNCCCUUC